AUUGUACCCAUUCACACAUUGUCCCCAUGUGGGAAAUCGAAGCUGGGUCUUUGGUGUGUCAAGCAAAUGCUUUCACCAUUAGGCUACCCCACCACCCC